ACACGCAUGACACACUGCAUAUCAAUAAGCGGAGGAAAAGAAACUAACAAGGAUUCCCUUAGUAACGGCGAGUGAAGCGGGAAGAGCUCAAAUUUGAAAUCUUCAAGGUUCUACCUUGACGAAUUGUAGUUUAUAGAAGUGUUUUCUGUUAGUAGAGUGGCAAAAGUUCUUUGGAAUAGGACAUCAUAGAGGGUGAGAAUCCCGUAUUUGGUCAUUCUUUCUAGCUUUGUGAUACACUUUCAACGAGUCGGAUUGUUUGGGAAUGCAGUCCAAAAUGGGUGGUAAAUUUCAUCUAAAGCUAAAUAUUGGCGAGAGACCGAUAGCGAACAAGUACCGUGAGGGAAAGAUGAAAAGAACUUUGAAAAGAGAGUUAAACAGUACGUGAAAUUGUCAAAAGGGAAGCGUUUGACACCAGUGUUGUUUUCUCGAAAAUCAAUUAAAAAUGGUGGGAUGUUGUGUUGUAUUGACUUUAUCAGCUUUCUGCACUUUUUUCCUAUCUUUUUUAAUGCACUUUUCGUUUAACAAGUCAACAUCAAUUUCUUUUGUUGUAAAAGAGUCAUUGGAAGGUGGCUUUCUUUUCGGAGAAAGUGUUUAUAGCCUUUGGCUUCCGCAAUCGGAGAGAUUGAGGUCUGCAGCGUAGAUCCUUCGGGGUUAGAUACAUUUGUGCUAAGUUAUAGCUUUUCAUAGACAACUUGUUGACUAUGUUAAGUCUUGUAAUUUACUCGCAGAUGCUAUUUUACCUACGCUUAGGAUGUUGAUAGUCACAGCGUGUAC
rnacentral:rRNA from 1 species